rfam:Oryza sativa Japonica Group DNA, chromosome 12, cultivar: Nipponbare, complete sequence.
AAAAAGGCAAACCCUGAAUUUCCAUGCCAAUGUUUGACCGUCCAUCUUAUAUGAAAUGUUUUUAUAUUUAGUAUUUUCAUUGUUGUUAGAUGAUAAAACAUGAUUAAUACUUUAUACGCGACUUAUCUUUUUAAUUUUUUUCAUAAUUUUUUCAAAUAAGACGGACGGUCAAACAUUGGACACGGAAACCAGGGUUUGUCUUUUU